rnacentral:rRNA from 1 species
AUUGAACGCUGGCGGCAGGCCUAACACAUGCAAGUCGAGCGGAUGAAGGGAGCUUGCUCCUGGAUUCAGCGGCGGACGGGUGAGUAAUGCCUAGGAAUCUGCCUGGUAGUGGGGGAUAACGUCCGGAAACGGGCGCUAAUACCGCAUACGUCCUGAGGGAGAAAGUGGGGGAUCUUCGGACCUCACACUAUCAGAUGAGCCUAGGUCGGAUUAGCUAGUUGGUGGGGUAAAGGCCUACCAAGGCGACGAUCCGUAACUGGUCUGAGAGGAUGAUCAGUCACACUGGAACUGAGACACGGUCCAGACUCCUACGGGAGGCAGCAGUGGGGAAUAUUGGACAAUGGGCGAAAGCCUGAUCCAGCCAUGCCGCGUGUGUGAAGAAGGUCUUCGGCUUGUAAAGCACUUUAAGUUGGGAGGAAGGGCAGUAAGUUAAUACCUUGCUGUUUUGACGUUACCAACAGAAUAAGCACCGGCUAACUUCGUG